AACUAGCCCCGAUUGCAGCGACAUCCUUUUUGUGAGGAGGAACGACGAGCAAAAAGAUACAGCGGAAAGCGGGAAAUAGC
rnacentral:sRNA from 12 species